CUUUAGGAAUUCCUCCACGAAUCAUGGAAGGGAACAUCAGUUUCGACGGAGAUGGAGACUCCUGUAAGACGCUGGCAGACCUUGCAGAAGAAAUAUCAAC